GAUGAACGCUGGCGGCGUGCCUAAUACGUGCAAGUCGAGCGAACAGAUGAGGAGCUUGCUCCUCUGACGUUAGCGGCGGACGGGUGAGUAACACGUGGAUAACCUACCUAUAAGACUGGGAUAACUUCGGGAAACCGGAGCUAAUACCGGAUAAUAUAUUGAACCGCAUGGUUCAAUAGUGAAAGACGGUUUUGCUGUCACUUAUAGAUGGAUCCGCGCCGCAUUAGCUAGUUGGUAAGGUAACGGCUUACCAAGGCAACGAUGCGUAGCCGACCUGAGAGGGUGAUUGGCCACACUGGAACUGAGACACGGUCCAGACUCCUACGGGAGGCAGCAGUAGGGAAUCUUCCGCAAUGGGCGAAAGCCUGACGGAGCAACGCCGCGUGAGUGAUGAAGGUCUUCGGAUCGUAAAACUCUGUUAUUAGGGAAGAACAAAUGUGUAAGUAACUAUGCACGUCUUGACGGUACCUAAUCAGAAAGCCACGGCUAACUACGUG
rnacentral:rRNA from 1 species